UACGGAGGGUGCGAGCGUUGUCCGGAAUCAUUGGGCGUAAAGGGCGCGUAGGUGGCCCGGUCAGUUCGUGGUGAAAGCGCGGGGCUCAACCCUGCGUCGGCCAUGAAUACUGCCGCGGCUGGAGCACUGUAGAGGCAGGCGGAAUUCCGGGUGUAGCGGUGGAAUGCGUAGAGACCCGGAAGAACACCGGUGGCGAAGGCGGCCUGCUGGGCAGUUGCUGACACUGAGGCGCGACAGCGUGGGGAGCAAACAGG
rnacentral:rRNA from 1 species